GACGAACGCUGGCGGCGUGCUUAACACAUGCAAGUCGAACGGAAAGGCCUCUUUCUUGGUGUACUCGAGUGGCGAACGGGUGAGUAACACAUGCGUAACCUGCCCUUGACUUUGAGUUAACUUCAGUAAACUGGGGCUAAUACCUGAUAGGAGCUCCUUCUGCAUGGUGGGGGUAGUAAAGUUUCGGAGUUUUGGGAUGGACUCUCGGCUUAUCAGCUUGUUGGUGGGGUAGUGGCUUACCAAGGCGUUGACGAGUAGCCGGACUGAGGGGGUGACAGGCGGCAUUGAGACUGAGAUGCGGCAGAGAUAGCUAAGGGUGGGAGAAGUGGGAAAUCUUGCACGAUCGGUGGAGGCCUGAUGCAGAAAGGCUGCGUGUGGGAUGACGGCCUUAGUGUUGUAAACCGAUUUCGCUAGUGACGAAGCUUUGUGUGACGGUAGUGGGUCAAGAAGCAACGGCUAACUACGUG
rnacentral:rRNA from 1 species